AGCCCGUGAAUAGGGCAUUGAAGUAAGAGUUGCUUGAACCUCACCCAUGUUUCGUGGAUGGGUUCACCUUCUAAUCGCUUAAAGCCUCGAAUGUUAUCUCUGAGUUU
rfam:Solanum tuberosum cultivar DM 1-3 516 R44 scf00275_17, whole genome shotgun sequence.